rnacentral:rRNA from 1 species
AUUAAACGCUGGCGGCAUGCCUUACACAUGCAAGUCGAACGGUAGCGCGGGGCAACCUGGCGACGAGUGGCGAACGGGUGAGUAAAGCAUCGGAACGUGCCCUGGAAUGGGGGAUAACGUAGCGAAAGUUACGCUAAUACCGCAUAUUCUGUGAGCAGGAAAGCAGGGGAUCGCAAGACCUUGCGUUCUGGGAGCGGCCGAUGUCGGAUUAGCUAGUUGGUGGGGUAAAAAGCCUACCAAGGCGACGAUCCGUAGCGGGUCUGAGAGGAUGAUCCGCCACACUGGGACUGAGACACGGCCCAGACUCCUACGGGAGGCAGCAGUGGGGGAAUUUUUGGACAAUGGGCGGAAGCCUGAUCCAGCCAUGCCGCGUGAGUGAAGAAGGCCUCGG